CUCGUUACGUCAGAGCUUGAGGGGCGUAUUUAAGCAGAACACACAGCUGACACAAUCCGCCCAGGCAUCAGCAGGCAGACCGUGCCUCACUCAGCCACCACACAAAGAUUAUAUAGUAUGCAUUCUUGUCCCUGAAGAAGCCCGAAGGGCGAAACAUGUUGGACCCCCUGCAUACAUCAUUCUGUCACCUCACUUUUGGUGAAAUAUAUCAUCUUAUGUGAUCAUGUUUUUAUUCUAUGUGUAUAUUUACAUGUCCAAUGUCAAUUAAAUUAUAUUUUUUAUCUAUACAAGUCUUGUCUAUCAUGUAUGAUCCCUGCGGUUUCUCAGUAAACUCUUUGUAAUUAUAAUAUAUAUUCCAACUUGCAUUCGCACAGUCCCAUGCCACAUCCCAGAAUUGGGAACAUAUAUUCAUUAUUCUACCCGGGACGGUAAUGCUUCUUGGACUCACUCCCUUAGUAUACUGUGCAAGCUCUAUAUGUACUAUAUAUUUUUCUCUGCAUAUGUUAAAGAUUUACUUUGUCUGUCUAUUUUGUAUACUGCCACCUUGUGUUGGAUACAGAUAUGCCCAGGGACCUUAUGUGCCUCUGUAUAUGAUCAUUAUACAUACACCCCCGGGGGUCGCCCCUCUGUAAUGCAGCCACAUAUAUGGAUGCUGGUUCUGCACCAUCCGACAUCCGUGGGUCACGCUAGGUGGGCGCCCAGGGGUGCUUGCCAGAUCAGCAUGUGAUCUGAACCAUGGCGGAGGCCAUGGUGUUGCGAUCAUCCGCGACAGUGCACCGCCGUGCGUGUGAGCUAAGACACACUGUUGGAGACGCUUCGGCGUUCCCAUAUCCCGCCCAGGGGGCGGGCUCACCGCGUCAUCUCCUAUGGGCGGUCUCCCACACGAUCCGACAGGAGGGGAAUCCCCUGCCUCUCCUGACGCACUAUGCCCGCCCACCUCAGCACUCUGACGCCUCCCAUGUCAGAGCUCCUGGGGCAUACAGUAUAUAAGCAGCACACACAGCUGAUACAGUCCGCCCAGGCUUCAGCAGGCAGACCGUGCCUAAAUCCAGCCACCACACCAAGGGCGACAACGAGCUUCCAGACAGGAGCCAAGAAACCCCACACCUCCUACCCAAGCCCCACCCCCGCAGGAUGUGGAGAAAGAAGAAGCGGAGGAAGGAGAAAGUGGCACCACAACAGGAGCUUUUCUGGCUGGGGACGGCUUUGAUACACAUAGCGCCCAGAUGCUAAUUGGCGAUGUGAUGGCCUGCUCAGCUGACCUGGAGGACAUCAACACAAGUUUGGGGCAGAUAAGGGAAAAGACAAAAAAGAGCAUUUCAUUGUGAUGGUCACGUCAUAAAUCCCCUGAUGGAGCCAAAGGAUUGGCGAAACUAGUAGGAAAGACUUGACCACUGGCUUGUACUCUAAUGUAUUGCUCCCACAAUAUUUGUACACUGCUCCUAUGUCCGAACUAAACUCUUUUAUCUUUAUGUAACCAAUAAAACGUUUCUAUUUUUGUA